GCAGCAGGGAAUAUUGUGCAAUGAACGAAAGUUUGACACAGCGACACCGCGUGUGGGAUGACGGAUCUAGGUUUGUAAACCACUUUCAGGAGGGAAGAAAAUGACGGUACCUCCACAAGAAGCCCCGGCCAAYUACGUGCCAGCAGCCGCGGUAAUACGUAGGGGGCGAGCGUUGUCCGGAUUUAUUGGGCGUAAAGAGCUCGUAGGCGGUUCAACAAGUCGGUCGUGAAAGUUCAGGGCUCAACCCUGAAAUGUCGAUCGAUACUGUUGUGACUAGGAUACGGCAGAGGUGAGUGGAAUUCCGAGUGUAGCGGUGAAAUGCGUAGAUAUUCGGAGGAACACCAAUUGCGAAGGCAGCUCACUGGGCCGCUAUCGUCGCUGAGGAGCGAAA
rnacentral:rRNA from 1 species